AAUAGAUGGUUUGCCAAACAAGAUGUAUGCAACAAAUGGGCAUUUGGAUUGGAGCAGGUUGGGCGGUUCAGUCCAAGUGUUGCCAAUCAUUCUGAUUGGGCAAUUAAUUGCAUCUUCAACUUGCUAUCACACUGCUAAUUAAUUGUUGAUUUGCUAAUUUGCCAUAUUUUCUCCUUCUUGACAGGUCCAUAUAACUCCAAAGUGCUUCAAGCAAUUGAGAUAGAAGAACGGAAAGCCAGGAAAAAGCCAUUCGGUUUGCAGCACUCAUAUGCUUUGUUUGUCCAUGAUGAGAAGUGGAGGAUAAGGAACGAGGAGAUACCAACCAAAAAAGAGCAAUUCAUGCAACUCCUGUUUAGAAUCUUAGAGAGCUUCGCGAGUGACUUUGAGAAGUCAAGGAGAAACCCUAAUCCAAGCUCAAUGCCUCAAAAGAUAAGUCCGCUUUGAUUUGUCAUGAUUAUUUGAGUAUGUGAUGAUGGCAUGAUUAUUUGUUUCAUUGGAUUGUGCCACUUUUCUUUGUAGAAUAGAAUGUUUGAUGAUGCUUCUUUCAUGAGCAUGAUGGCAGAUGAGGAGAUGAACCAUGUAGAACCAUCACAAGAUGAUGAAUGUUUUGUUGACCCAUCUCCGAUGAAAGGAAGACAAAUGUACUAUACCACUGAAGAGGAUGACAAUUCUGUGUUGGCAUGGGAGGCCAUCACACUGGAUGCAGUCAAUGGAGUUGAGCAAAGUGCCUCAACAUAUUGGCAAUCAGUUGACCAUCGCAUACAGAAGACCCCCCCCCCCCCUCGACAAAAAACACAAAUUUCACUCACAAAUAGAUGGUCUGGCAAACAAGAUGUAUGCAACAAAUGGGUGUGUGCACUGGAGUAGGUUGGGCGGCUCAGUCCAAGUGUGGCCAAUCCUUCAGAUUGGAUCAAUAUAGCUCAAAAGUUCUUCAAGCAAUUGAGAUCAAGAACGAAAAGCCAGGAAAAAGCCAUUCUAUUUGCAGCACUCAUAUGCCUUGCUUGUCCAUGAUGAGAAGUGGAGGACAAGGAAUGAGGAGAUACCAACCAAAAGAGCAAAUCAAGCAACUCCUCUUCUCCUGGAGUUGAGAAUCUUGAGAGCUUCGAGAGUGACUCUGAGGAGGCAAGGAGAAACCCUAAUCCAGGCUCAAUGCCUCAAAAGAAAAGGCCGCUUUGAUUUGCCAUGAUUAUCUAUGUAUGUGAUGAUGGCAUGAUUAUUUGAUUCAUUCGAUUGUGCCACUUCGACUUGUAGAAUAAUUGAUGAUGCUUCUUUCAUGAGCAUGAUGGCAGAUGAGGAGAUGAACGAUGUAGAACCAUCACAAGAUGAUGAAGGUUUUGUUGAUCCAUUUCCGAUGAAA